GAUCUUCGGACCUCACGCUAUUGGAUGAGCCCAAGUCGGAUUAGCUUGUAGGUAGGGUAACGGCCUACCUAGGCGGACGAUCCGUAGCUGGUCUGGGAGGACGGAUCAGCCACACCUGGGACUGAGACACGGCCCAGACUCCUACGGGAGGCAGCAGUGGGGAAUAUUGGACAAUGGGCGCAAGCCUGAUCCAGCAAUGCCGCGUGUGUGAAGAAGGCCUGCGGGUUGUAAAGCACUUUCUAGUAGAGAAGAAAAGCCUAGGGUUAAUAACCCUGAGUUCUUGACGUAACCUACAGAGAAGCACCGGCUAACUCCGUG
rnacentral:rRNA from 1 species